CCUACGGGAGGCAGCAGUGAGGAAUAUUGGUCAAUGGGCGCGAGCCUGAACCAGCCAAGUCGCGUGAGGGAUGAAGGUUCUAUGGAUCGUAAACCUCUUUUAUCAGGGAAUAAAGUGUGGGACGUGUCCUAUUUUGUAUGUACCUUAUGAAUAAGGAUCGGCUAACUCCGUGCCAGCAGCCGCGGUAAUACGGAGGAUCCGAGCGUUAUCCGGAUUUAUUGGGUUUAAAGGGUGCGGAGGCGGCAUUUUAAGUCAGCGGUGAAAGUCUUGGGGUCAACCCUAGAAUUGCCGUUGAAACUGGGGGGCUUGAGUAUGUUAGAGGCAGGCGGAAUGCGUGGUGUAGCGGUGAAAUGCAUAGAUAUCACGCAGAACCCCGAUUGCGAAGGCAGCCUGCCAAGCCAUGACUGACGCUGAUGCACGAAAGCGUGGGGAUCAAACAGGAUUAGAUACCCGAGUAGUC
rnacentral:rRNA from 1 species